GUGGCCUGAGAACUCUGGGGGCUUCCCUCCGGGGUCAUCAUGUCCGCCUCCCAUGGUGGGUCCUCACAGACCCUUCUAUAGGAAGCCCUGGGACAUGGCUUACCCUAGGGCGGCAGACAUGAACAGGUUAUAAUUUGACAAGUGAAGUUUCUUUAAAUGUACAGCAGAGCCAACCCAUUCAUUUAUCCAAUUAAUCUUCAUUAUGCAGCUCUAGGAGUCUGGAGCUGCUUUGUAGUAUCCCGGGAGCCCUGCACAGGGUCUCCUGCACACUAGGUGCUCGGCAAACAUUUGGAGAGUGAACAAAGAAAGCCUUGUGCAUGCAUCUCAUUUGUAAAGACAACUCUGGUAAGGCAUGACUUAAGCUUAUUUACUGCCAAAUUUUCCCAGGACAAGCACAGGGAUGGUGUCUGGCUUCCAAACAGUUACCUCCCGAGGAGCUCUUCCUUCCAGGUCCACUGCCUGUGGCCAAACACUGCCCCAUGUUUCCCAGGACGGGAGGAGCCUGAGCCCUGACUUUCUAGAUCCCAGCCCUGCCUUCAGGCUCCUGGGCGGCAGAAACCGGCAUCCCAACCAGCAGGCCACUGGCCUCCCACAGCCAGUUGCACGGCUAAGCUGAAACCUGGCUCCUGUUUCUCCAGGUCUAAAUGUCAUAACAUUUGGCAGGACCACAGGACCACAGGAGGGAGAAAUCAAAGAGUCUGUGAUACCAUCAAAGAGACAUGCUGUUGAAAUAUCAUUCCAAAGGCUCAACAAGUCAUGAUGGAAAAGCAGGCAUGCGGGAGUGUUCCCUUCACUCCUCUAUUAAUUAAUAAGGACCCCAAAUCAAUUCCUGCUACUGAGGAGACCCACCAGCAACACUGGGAUCAUCACUGUGCAGUGACUCACCAGGCACAGACAGAACACGUGACCGGGUUGUCCUCUGCCUCGUUCUUCUAUAAAUUCUGCAUUUCUGUUGGGACAGCACUCUACUCAAAGUGCUUUUGUUUAAGGAAGAAAGUAAUUCUGCCAGUAAACUGGAAAAUCACCAGCACCUCCCAGGACAUCGACAGAGGUACAGCCUCCUCCCAGCAAGCGUCAAGCCAGAGCAGAUGGCCGCACACUGGGUUGACAAACCAGACUUUCAGUGCAAAGGAAUCGAUGGGGAUUUCAUCUAUGUGUCUGCACAGAUGGGGGGUUAAUUUGACGUCCGGCACUGGUCUCUAGGUACCCACUGACCCCUAGAAGCAUUUCGCCCUUAUCAGCGCAGAGUUGAACUUCUGAACUGUCAGCAGUGGGAACCUAGUGGGAACAUAGCCUAUUGCUAUUUCCUAUGGUUUAAUUUCCCUUCCAGCUAUGACACUAUGCUCCCAUGAAGGCUUUUCAAUGUAAAGACAUUCUUUCUGUGCAAACUGGGUAGGGUUGUAGUUCAGCUUUUCUGACCAUUUGUCAAAAAGCCAUCAAGGCUGGAACUUAACUGACCUCCAAACUCGGCAGCCCAUUACUGACACACGACUCGUCAAUGUGCCUUCUGAGAAUGACCCCAUGGUCUGAUGCCUCGAGAAUCUCUGCACAGAGCCAUUGCUGUCCCUCUGCCACGACCCCCCGCCCCCAGCUCUGCCAGCCCUGGCAAGGCAGCAAAGGCCACUGCCUGUCCCGCUUCUUUGAAAUGAAAACCAGGAUGCAGGGAUUACUCCUUUAUGGCCCUUGUGAGGAAACGCACAAGGCAGGGCCUCUUCUGCCGGUUUUCUUAGGCGCUGGAAGCUUGGGUGGAGUUCAAUUCGUAAGCU